GAUGAAGAACGUAGCGAAAUGCGAUAAGUAAUGCGAAUUGCAGAAUUCCAGUGAGUCAUCGAAUCUUUGAACGCACAUUGCGCCCUUUGGUAUUCCGAAGGGCAUGCCUGUUCGAGCGUCAUUAUCACCCCUCAAGCCCUCGGCUUGGUGUUGGACGGUUUGGUGGAGGCCCCCUCGGGGGCUCCUGCCCCUCCCAAAGACAAUGACGGCGGCCUCGUUGGACCCCCGGUACACUGAGUUCUUCACGGGACACGUAUCGGACACACGGGUUUACGGGACACGGUCUGCCUCCCCUCAGGGAGAAUCUUUCUAAGGUUGACCUCGGAUCAGGUAGGGAUACCCGCUGAACUUAAGCAUGUCAAUAAGCGGAGGA
rnacentral:misc_RNA from 1 species